GAUGAACGCUGGCGGCGUGCCUAAUACAUGCAAGUCGAGCGAACGGACGAGAAGCUUGCUUCUCUGAUGUUAGCGGCGGACGGGUGAGUAACACGUGGAUAACCUACCUAUAAGACUGGGAUAACUUCGGGAAACCGGAGCUAAUACCGGAUAAUAUUUUGAACCGCAUGGUUCAACAGUGAAAGACGGUCUUGCUGUCACUUAUAGCUGGAUCCGCGCUGCAUUAGUUAGUUGGUAAGGUAACGGCUUACCAAGGCAACGAUGCAUAGCCGACCUGAGAGGGUGAUCGGCCACACUGGAACUGAGACACGGUCCAGACUCCUACGGGAGGCAGCAGUAGGGAAUCUUCCGCAAUGGGCGAAAGCCUGACGGAGCAACGCCGCGUGAGUGAUGAAGGUCUUCGGAUCGUAAAACUCUGUUAUUAGGGAAGAACAUAUGUGUAAGUAACUGUGCACAUCUUGACGGUACCUAAUCAGAAAGCCACGGCUAACUACGUG
rnacentral:rRNA from 1 species